UUCUUCGCCGUCUCUCUGUGUGUGUGUGACUAGCUCUAUUCUGCUUCCUCCGGACGAAUCCUUUCUCUGUGUUCGUUCUCUCAGUUAACACGCGACAGAAUAAUCGCCAUAAAAUUUUUUAAAAAAUAGAAAAGACUCGAGUAUCUCUUUCGAAAUGAUGUCGUUUCUUCAGGGUGAUUUGUUUUACACUUUUGUUCUUUUGAGAUUAGCUAAUCGUUUAGGGUCAGUGAUUCGUUAGCAGAAAAUAUAUGGUGGAGGAGCGUUUAUUUGAAAAUUCAAUGGUUUGAAUUCCUAAUUUCAAUUGUGGUAUAGUGAUGUAUUAAUUUUUUUUCUCUAUUGUUUUAAAGUUCCUUUAUGCUCAAUUGCUUUCUUCGACGUUUCUUGAUUUCUGCUUACUCUGGAUAACGAAGGAAUUAACUUUGUAUGAUUUGUUUGUUUACAUCCCAUUGAUAAUGCUGUGGACUUGUAGAGAGGCCUUUAGCUAUGGGUUUUGACCAGAAGUAGACAACUUGGGUUAUGAUGAGUUGACUUAUGAACCACAAGUGUUGCCUCGUUGCUUACUCUUUUGUGUUCUAUAUUUGCAUAACUCACUUUCAUUUCUCUUUUUAAAUUCUUUACAUAGAUGAACUGUGGUGGAGAGGCCUUGUACUUAUCAUAGAACUUCCCAGUGUUUAUACUAAUGAGGUCCAUCCAUGACAAGGUUCUAAUUUUGGCAAUUCAUCUGGUUAUAUUAUACAUAUGACUUGAUAUAUCGUAUCACUUAUUUUCCUUGCAAUACAACAAAAUAUCAUGAGACUAAAGACAACAUCUUCAUUGAACAGAACAACAAUGCUUCAGGGAGCUAACGAUUUCUGGUGCUCGGCUGCUUGUUUCUACCAAACCUCUUCAUGAUCCACUCAUGCUUGUAUGAAGCCGUUAUGCAUCCGAUCAUCAAUCCAAAUACAAAUCCAG
rnacentral:lncRNA from 1 species